ACCCAGAUGACAAGUCCCAAAUAAGACGAAGCGCGCUUUCUGGAU
rnacentral:hammerhead_ribozyme from 1 species